UUCAUAACCUGCCUUGCCAUCAACUCCGGCUCAUUAUUAAGCCUCCAUUGUACAGAACCGGUCGUAACAAAGAGCUUUGGGAUUCGGUGUGAAUCGAUCUCUACGUCGUUCCUAUCACCAAGGAAAAGCCCCAGUACCCGAGGGGCUGGUCAGCCCAGCUACGAGUAUAAACAUGGGUGAGGAAUGUCGGCUACAUGUUUGAAGGGAGGAGAAACAGGAAAUCCCGAUCUACCACAACCGCCUAUCACAACCCUCUCAGAUCCAAGGAGGAAUUAGAUUGAAAGGUAAUAAAUAGACGAAUUAUAACCUUUCACUUUAAUAGUACUGGGGAUUGCAUUCCCUGUAGCGUUUAGAAAAGCCCUUGAAAAACCAAACAAAAAAAGAAUGUUUUAGAACCAGGAGUCACAUUUUUGGUUCUCCAGGAGAACAGGGGCUCAUCGUCCUUCAAUGAGGACACAAGUCUCAAUUUGGAGCUCGAUGAGAGAAGUCAGUUUUUGAACCUCUCCAAGGAAGAACCACCUGCCAUUGCUAAGUGCUGGGACUUUGCCAUUGUUGUGGUGCCAAGAAGUGGGAACUGUUUCGAACGACAGAGAUCGUCAUCGUAUGGGAGUAGGAAACCCAGGAAGCCGUGCGGAAGAGCAAAAGGACCUGGGGAAGUGCCGAGUCUGAGUACAGCACUUCGUCACUUUGUUAGUGGACCUUCAAUCCCGUCGAGUGGACGUCAUCCGAGGAUCUCCAUUGAACCAUCUUAACACGGAUCGAAGAGUAACCUACAGUCAUUGUGUUUCAUAUGUGAAUAUCCCCUUUUUUAUUGGCCCAACAAUUCCCCCACUAUUCUUAACGGAGCAAGACAGCUGAUUGGCGGUGUGUUUGUGAUGAAUAAAGUAGAUUGAACUGUA